GAUGGACACCAAGCUCAUAAUCUCAGUUCUCUAAAAUAUUUCCACAGUGGAAAAAAAAUCUGAAAGUGCCAUUACAAUCAUCAUGUAAAAACAGCAUCCAGUCACUCUCUGAAACAGACUUAAAGGCUGAUGCAUCUACCUACUACAAUUCUGAUUUAGGACAUAUAUGAACAGCCAAAGCAAUAGAUCUGACAGGAAAGACCUCCUUUCCAAACCAAGAAGAGAUGGGGGCAACUGCAAUUGAAUGCAAACCAAGUCCAGGACCUAAAACUGCGUUUCAAAUAUACUUACAGCUGGACCAGGUUCUCCAGGGGGACCAGGAUCUCCAGGAAAACCAACUGGACCCUAGGUUAAUCAGACCAAACCGAAAGACUCACAGAUGUUCCAGAUUCUCCAGGAGGUCCAGGGUUACCAGCUUCUCCAGGUUCACCCUGUACACGUGUGAGGAUAAAUUGAUGAGUCAUUAGGUAGAAUAUUUCUGUGAAUUUGUUUCUGUUAUAACAUAUUUUUUGCAUGCUUAUUCAUGAUAACAGCUUACAGGAGUUUUUAUUACAAUUUAUUACAAAGUAAUUGGUACACAUGUUUCUGCAGAACUGGAAUCUGAAAUUUUAGAAACAACCUUUCAAACUAAGCUUUUAGUAAGACAGGGAGACUAACUUUCCCUUUGGGCUUUGGAAGAUAUUCCCCUUUAUAAUCCCAUAUAUUGCAAAUUUCCUGUUUGUCUUUUUCCUUUCUAGGCAUAGAAAAGCCAAAGAAGUAAAAAUAUAUAUUUAUUUUUUCUUUAUAAUAUAUAUUUUUGCCUGGAAGCAAAUUCCUACAAAUAUGAUAAUAUUAAUUUGAAAUUAAUUUUAGUAGAGUGGAAACAUUAUUGCUGGAGCUACUGUUAACAUAAAUAAUUAUAUAAAGAAAAACAUAAAAUAAUAGUAUAAUGGCAUAAAGUUAGUAGAAGUUUCAUCAUAGGCCACAAAGGAAUAUGCUAUGUAUUUACUGGUGAUGGAAAUUAUUUAGUGUAUCAGAUGGCUUUGAGAAGAACACCAUACAAAGAAAAUCUAUACAAAAUCUAUCUAUAUCUAUACAUAAAUAUCUAUCUAUAUAUUUAUGUAUAGAUAUAUAAAGAUGAUAUUCAAGAUAGUAGAGAUAGUCUAUCUAGCAGAGUCUACAGUGUAGACCAAAUUCAGUAUAGCCCUUCAGUAGAGGGUCUCCACUGCAGUACUAAUUGAGUGACAUAAAAGCACUUAUUGUGCCGGGUCUUGCCUGACAAACCCUGCUGCCAGUAUAAACCCCUUUUAUGCUUCUCAGAGAGUAAGUUCCUUUCUGCCUUCCUGCCAAAGGAUAUUUUAAUUUAUGAUUCACAUUUGAUUCAAAAGCAACUCUUUACCCUUUCCCUUGAAAACUCAUCUUCAUUUUAUGAUAUCUUCCAAUGAGAGAAAAGAUGGGUUGCUUCUGACUUACUGACCUACACCUUUGGUCAACACCCAUGGAGAACACAAUGGUCCUGGGAUCUCAGGGAUCCCUGCUAUAGCACACAUUUUGAAAUUGGCAGAUGGAGGCAGCCCACAUGAGCUCACUACACAGUAAAACCACAAUAAGCAGCAGUGUGGAAGAAAUCAGAAAUAGAAGGGCAAGAAAACGUCAAGAUGUUCUCCUCGAAGGGCACUUGUGUAAGAUGAGAUCAGUUACAGUUUAAUCUGACAUUAAUACUUCAAAAUCAUAUACCGCUUUAUUAAAAAGAUGUGACUCUUCCUAUAUGCAGUCCUUGCUUUUUCAAAUACUGUUUUUUAUAUGUUACAAAUUUUAUGUAUUACAAAAGGUUGCAGCUGUUUCAGACAGCUGUUAAGGGAGUUAAACAAUGUUUUGAUAGGCAAGACUGUAGCUGAUAUAUAUUUACAGAAUACAUAUUUAUGAUUAUCAAAAACUUUGCCUUUGUCUUUCAUUGCCUUUUUGGUAAGGAUAGUAUUAAUUCAGAAUCCACUUCACCUCCUCCAUAGGAAGUAUCUCGCAUUCAGUUGGGAAAUAGAUGUUUUUGAGCGUAUAAACAGGAGGGGGAUCGAUUGUUUGUGAGGGUGGAUAGCGAUAGGACAAGGGGGAAUGGUUUUAAGCUGA